UGCUUUACGCAGAGGGAUAACGUGACCUAUGAGGCUCUGCCGAGGUACGUUUAUUGCUGGUUGAAAAUGAUAGA
rnacentral:snRNA from 1 species